AGGCCCACCUUCCCUCAGCCUUGUCUGCGCCCCAGGCUCCCAGUUAUGAUGGAAGGCACAGCUACAGCCAAGUCAGGGGCCCUGGGGCUGACUGGGACCCAGAAGAGAAAUGAGAGCUGGACAAGAGGAACAGACAAGCCUCUCCAACACAGCACGGACUCUAGCUAGGCUGGCUCUGAGACUUCUAGUGACCUUGAGACCUCAUAACUUCAGACUCUAGAAGUAAGGAACCAAGUGCCUCACUGGUGGUGUGGAAGAACUGGGAUUCCCCACAGUGCAGUGGAAAUUCCUGGGAGUCUCGAACCACAUGUUUUCCAUCUACUACAUCCAAAGCUCUGCAAAGAAUGGAAACACAGUCAUGUCAAUACGCUAUGAACAAUGCCAAAAUCUCAAGAAACCCAAAGGCAUGUUUCUCCAUGUAUUAAUAUAUUUCCAGUCAGCCCAAAUAAUGAAUCAUUCUUCAAAACCUACACAGCGUUGUAGAUAAUUUGGUACUCUCAUAGCACAUUUAUAAAUAAACCUGGAUGACUUCA